CCGAGUUUACAACUCCCAAACCCAAUGUGAACGUUACCAAACUGUUGCCUCGGCGGGAUCUCUGCCCCGGGUGCGUCGCAGCCCCGGACCAAGGCGCCCGCCGGAGGACCAACCAAAACUCUUAUUGUAUACCCCCUCGCGGGUUUUUUUUUUAUAAUCUGAGCCUUCUCGGCGCCUCUCGUAGGCGUUUCGAAAAUGAAUCA
rnacentral:misc_RNA from 1 species